UACGUAGGGUGCAAGCGUUAAUCGGAAUUACUGGGCGUAAAGCGUGCGCAGGCGGUUAUGUAAGACAGGUGUGAAAUCCCCGGGCUUAACCUGGGAACUGCAUUUGUGACUGCAUAGCUAGAGUACGGUAGAGGGGGGAUGGAAUUCCGCGUGUAGCAGUGAAAUGCGUAGAUAUGCGGAGGAACACCGAUGGCGAAGGCAAUCCCCUGGACCUGUACUGACGCUCAUGCACGAAAGGCGUG
rnacentral:rRNA from 1 species